rnacentral:rRNA from 2 species
UACGUAGGGGGCAAGCGUUGUCCGGAUUUAUUGGGCGUAAAGAGCGUGUAGGCGGCUUCACAGGUCCGCUGUGAAAACUCGAGGCUCAACCUCGAGCUGUCGGUGGAAACCGUGUGGCUAGAGUCCGGAAGAGGAGAGUGGAAUUCCCGGUGUAGCGGUGAAAUGCGCAGAUAUCGGGAAGAACACCCGUGGCGAAGGCGGCUCUCUGGGACGGUACUGACGCUGAGACGCGAAAGCGUGGGGAGCGAACAGG